GACGAACGCUGGCGGCGUGCUUAACACAUGCAAGUCGAACGGAAAGGCCCUGCUUUUGUGGGGUGCUCGAGUGGCGAACGGGUGAGUAACACGUGAGUAACCUGCCCUUGACUUUGGGAUAACUUCAGGAAACUGGGGCUAAUACCGGAUAGGAGCUCCUGCUGCAUGGUGGGGGUUGGAAAGUUUCGGCGGUUGGGGAUGGACUCGCGGCUUAUCAGCUUGUUGGUGGGGUAGUGGCUUACCAAGGCUUUGACGGGUAGCCGGCCUGAGAGGGUGACCGGCGACAUUGGGACUGAGAUACGGCCCAGAGUCGUACGGGGGGCAGCGGGGGGGAAUAUUGCACAGUGGGCGGGAGCCUGAUGCAGCGGCGCCGCGUGCGGGAUGACGGCCUUCGGGUUGUAAACCGCUUUCGCCUGUGACGAAGCGUGAGUGACGGUAAUGGGUAAAGAAGCACCGGCUAACUACGUG
rnacentral:rRNA from 1 species